rnacentral:rRNA from 1 species
GACGAACGCUGGCGGCGUGCUUAACACAUGCAAGUCGAACGGAAAGGCUCCAGCUUGCUGGAGUACUCGAGUGGCGAACGGGUGAGUAACACGUGGGUAAUCUGCCCUUCACUCUGGGAUAAGCCUGGGAAACUGGGUCUAAUACUGGAUAUGACCUUUCUCCUUAUGGGGUUUGGUGGAAAGUUUUUCGGUGUAGGAUGAGCCCGCGGCCUAUCAGCUUGUUGGUGGGGUGAUGGCCUACCAAGGCGACGACGGGUAGCCGGCCUGAGAGGGUGAUCGGCCACAUUGGGACUGAGAUACGGCCCAGACUCCUACGGGAGGCAGCAGUGGGGAAUAUUGCACAAUGGGCGGAAGCCUGAUGCAGCGACGCCGCGUGAGGGAUGACGGCCUUCGGGUUGUAAACCUCUUUCAGCAGGGACGAAGCGUAAGUGACGGUACCUGCAGAAGAAGCACCGGCUAACUACGUG